rnacentral:rRNA from 1 species
CCUACGGGAGACUGCAGUGAGGAAUAUUGGUCAAUGGCCGGAAGGCUGAACCAGCCAUGCCGCGUGAAGGUCAGUGCCCUAUGGGCGUUAAACUUCUUUUGUGCGGGAGCAAUAAUGGUCACGUGUGGCCAGACGAGAGUACCGUACGAAUAAGCAUCGGCUAACUCCGUGCCAGCAGCCGCGGUAAUACGGGGGAUGCAAGCGUUAUCCGGAAUUAUUGGGUUUAAAGGGUGCGUAGGCUGGGAGGUAAGUCAGCGGUGAAAUGCCCCCGCUCAACGGGGUGAAGUGCCAUUGAUACUGCCUUGCUGGAAAGCGGAUGCGGUGGGCGGAAUGUGUGGUGUAGCGGUGAAAUGCAUAGAGAUCACACAGAACACCGAUUGCGAAGGCAGCUCACGAAGCCGCGAUUGACGCUGAUGCACGAAAGCGUGGGUAUCAAACAGGAUUAGAUACCCUUGUAGUC